UGGUUUGGUUUGUGUAACAGCUUGAAAGAAUUGGACCCCAACAUCAAGCUGGAAGUGACAGCCUACUGACUGGAGCAGCAUUUUUCAAGAUGAGAGAGAUGUUUUUUGAAGAUAACAUCGACGAUGACAAAUACUGUGGCCACUUGUAUGGACUGGGAACAUCCUAUGUUAUCAACGGAACCGCCUAUCAAGAAGAUGAACAGGCUACCAACACCUCUACUUCCUGACACCACUCUACUACACUUGGAUUAGCAGCUCUACUUCCUGACACCACUCAACUACAUUUGCAUUAGCAGCUGUACUUCCUGACACCACUCAACUACACUUGGAUCAGCAGCUCUACUUCCUGACACCACUCUAGUGGAUUUGGAUUAGCAGCUCUACUUCCUGACA
rnacentral:lncRNA from 1 species